AUUCGUUUCCAAAUAAAAUAAAAACGGGUAUGUAAAUUAUUAGGGAUAGUAUGUUAUCCCAAGGUUUAUGAGUUUUGCCAAUCUACUCACUGGUAAUCUAGCUGCUAAAUUGUCAAAAUUUCCAUCAGUGUACAUGUUCCUAUUUAGUUGUUACAUAUUACUAUUGUUUUGUUUCAUGCAGUUUAUUAGGUUUAUAUAAAACUAGUAUAUUUAUUCAUUGGCCAAUUAUUACACAUAAUCAAUUGUUCAACAUUUUUCAAUCGACUAUUCUUAUCAUAUUUUCCAUUGCAUGAUCAUUGAAUGAAGAAGACAGAGUUUUUCCUCCUGGAAAAUUUCUGGUUCUUGAUUAGUUGAUAGUUAUAAUUACUGAUGAAAGAAUAUGAAAUAAAACAACUCCAAUUU
rnacentral:misc_RNA from 1 species